UACGUAGGUCCCGAGCGUUGUCCGGAUUUAUUGGGCGUAAAGCGAGCGCAGGUGGUUUAUUCAGUCUGGUGUAAAAGGCAGUGGUUCAACCAUUGUAUGCAUUGGAAACUGGUAGACUUGAGUGCAGGAGAGGAGAGUGGAAUUCCAUGUGUAGCGGUGAAAUGCGUAGAUAUAUGGAGGAACACCGGUGGCGAAAGCGGCUCUCUGGCCUGUAACUGACACUGAGGCUCGAAAGCGUGGGGAGCAAACAGG
rnacentral:rRNA from 1 species